ACCUGUGUGGUGUAGUGGUUUGAGCAUCAGACUAGGAUUCUGGAGAUCGACGUUCAAUUCCCCACUCAUCUA